CAAAAACAUCUUUUCUUGUUAGUUUUUGAAGUAUGGCCUCCCCACUGACUUUGAGUUGAAGGGCCGCGGUAUUUUGACCGUGCAAAGGUAGCAUAAUCAUUAGUUCUUUAAUUGUGAUCUGGUAUGAAUGGCUUGACGAGACAUAGACUGUCUUAGAGGUAUUUGUUGAAAUUAGUUUUUGAGUUAAAAUUCUUAGAUGUUUUUAUGGGACGAGAAGACCCUAUAGAGUUUAACAUUUAUCUUUCUAUAUUUUUAGUUUGUUUUCUUGUUAUUAGUUGGGUAAAUGUUUUGUUGGGGUGAUGGGAGGAAUUCUUUUAACUCCUCUUUGUUUUUAUAUAUUUAUUUAUAUGGGUUGGAUCCAUUUAUUUUGAUUAUAAAAUUAAAUUACCUU
rnacentral:rRNA from 1 species